GGUCUUGACCCCUUUGCUCAUCACUCCUCCCUCUCUGCACCUGGAUUCCGGAGUUCAGCUCAGUGUUUUGCUGUGGGUAUAAAGACCAUAGUCUUAAUGAGGUGGGUGGGCUCACGUUGCUAAGAGAGAGAGGCGCUUGCUUAGCUGAAGUUCAAGUCUUUUUACCCUGUGAGUUUAGGCCCAUCAUUUUAUCAACUUUCAGUGAAAAUGCAGAUAAUGUAACCCAUCUCCUAGGGUUCUUGAGACCAUUAAGUAAAAUAAGGUACAUGUUUAUCUUAGUUAGGGUUAUUAUUGGGGUGACAAAAUGCCAUGAUCAAAGGCAACUAGAGGAGGAGAGGGUUUAUUUCAGUUUACACUUCCAUGUCCAUCAUUGAGAGAAGUCAGGCCAGGAAGUCAAAUGAGUCAGGAUCCUUGAGACUGGAGCUGAUGCAGAGACCAUGGUGGUAUGGUGGUGUGUGUGCUGCUUACUGGCUUGCUCCCCAUGGCUUGUUCAACCUGCUCUCUUAUACCAUUCAGGGCCUCCAGCCCAGGGGUGGCACCACCCACAGUGAGCUGGGCUCUUCCAAAUCAAUCAUCAAUCAACAAAAGGCACCACAGGCUUGCCCACAGGACAGUCUGGUGUGGGCAUAUGCUCUCUUCUUAAAUUAUUCUGGCUUAUGUCAAGUUUACAUAAACUAGACAGCACAAUGUCGUAUUUCACACACAGUGAAUACCUCGAUUAUUGCUGUUAUAGCAUUAAGUUCAGUUGACAUUUCCUAGAAUGAAAGUUCUGAUAGGGCAACUGUCUUCCCAAUGUUUACAUCACUUUUAGCAUCUCAUGCAGCUUUUUUUUUUUUAAAAAAAUAUAGUGUCAAAAUUCCCAUUUAAACACAGAUAUGUUUAUGAAGGAGCUCCUAUAAAUCAAUCAUCCUCAUUCCCUAUUAACAGAUAAUGGAGAUCACAUUCUUGGUCCCACUUGUUACUAAGAAGUCCUGAUGGAUUAUAAACGUCUUUGAUUAGCAAGUAAGAUUGUGUGGCUGGGAAACCCUGGUUUUUGUCUUCCAGACUAUAGACCAAGCAACAGUGGAAAGAGCCCUUCCUCUUUGAUCUUUCAUCUAGGAUGUACUUGCAAAUAGUCCUUGCCUGAACAUUUAUCAUUAAUUUAAUAUUGAGAGAUUUGUUGUCUUCCUUGCUUGUAUUCUACUUAGUGGUAAGGAAUCAAUGGUUGGCCAUUGUUUUAUAUUUAUGUUCACCAGGGGACUGGAGAAAGCCACGGCCUGUUACUCUAGUCUUGGAGACCAGACUGGGCUUUUAUCUCUAGUUAGUUCCACCCAGGUUCCUUAGCUCUGGGUGAGGCAGCUUUGGCUUCCAUCCCUGGGGUUUGCUUUGUUUAUUUUUGCUUCCAUGCUCUGCAAGCAAAUGUACAAGGCUCCAUGUCUCCAUUUAUUUUUGUAUCUCCUCUUGUCAAAUUAGUGCAGAGUUUCUAACCCGACAUGCAGAGGUCACUUUCCACAAAUGCCCUUCUCUGAGUUGUCACAGCCAGCUCUGAUUAGGGCCACUACCUUGCACCUAGCUUCUAUCAUUUAGGCUUCUGGCCAGUGUCAUUCACUUAGGUUGUGUGUUAUAUUAGUUAAUUUUCUUCUUGCUGACAGAAUGCCUGAAUCAUACAACUUAAAGGAGGAAGAAUGAAUUUGGCUCACGGUUUCAGAGGUGUCUGUCACUCCUGGCUGGAAGGGUGUGGCAGAACAGAGCAGUUCAUAUCAAGGUGGCCUUGAACCUGAGUAUUGUUUGUCCUGCAGCUCUACCGAGUUCUAUAUGUGGCCUCCAGUGUUACCCUGGGCAUGAGCACCCGGACUCCAUACAGGAAAACAAUAUGGAGGAAGACAGGUCAUUCCUGACCAUUGGUGUGAGCUGAGACUAUCAGUGAGAAGAGGAGUUAAUAUCACCCGUGCUCCUUAAAGGAAGGAAGUGGGAGAGUGGAGAAGGAAGCAGCCUUCUGUUGCUAAGCUUGUGAAUUGGACGGAGUGAAGCUUGGCCAUCAGCAGGGCAAUAAGGAUGGUUCCUUGAGGAAAAGCCCAAAGCAAGUAAGUCAAAGGGCAAGCCUCCAAGAGCACUCGAGGGAACUUGAUGAGGACCAGACCCAUCAAUGUCACAGACAAUCCAGACAAAUUAGAGGAGACUGUGAAGUGGAGGAAAGAGUAUCUGGGCCUCAGCCAUGGUGAUCUUCAGUAGAAGAGAAGAAGAUUCCAACCCCCAGGCAUUGAGAAUGAGAGCCUGACUGCAAUGGGGCACAUCCUAGAGGCCAGUCAGGGCCAGGAGAUGAGGACAAGGACAGCGCAAAGGAGUUCGCCAUUACUACAGUUUUGAUGUUCUGGUGACACUUCUCACCAGUGCUAUGGUUUUGGUGUUCUGGUGAUGCUGCUUGGGUGAUGAGGCUGCAUUGCCUGCUGGGAAGAGUCUGCCCAUGCAGCAAGUUCAGCAGAUAUUUUGCUACAGUAAUUGAAAACGAUACAAUAUACCCUGGGAAAACUGAAUCACUUUCUAAAAUGAGGUAACAGAAAAUCUCUUGGGUGCUGUGAGAAAUGAAGGAAAUCUGUGAUGUCUCACACAGUAAACCUUGAAGAUGAAACAAUAGCCCGGGGCAGUUAAGAGCCAGAAGACUGGAAGAGGGGUGUGGUACUCUCCCAACCCUGACAAGCAAGAUGAGCAGGUCUGGAUUAUUUAUUCUUGUUCAUCAUCAGCUGUCUAGACUUCAGGCCAGUGUGAUGCGUGACAACAGAAACACUCUAUCCCGUGCAGAGGAGGCCUGUUUAAACCAACUCCUGAAGGAUGAUGAGAGUCUCCUCAGGCAUCCUACACCGAGACUGUCACUUUAUGUAGAGGAAUCAGCACAUUCCAGCAAUGAAGAAACAAUGCUGAUGAGGAUGGGCAACUUCUGUGAAGGAAGUGUCCCCAGAGUCUAGGAAAGCAUAGCAGAUGCUCACUAAACAUUGAGUAAAAGGAUAGAUAAAAGACUGGAUCCUUUGAAGAAAAGGGCUGUGCCUUAUCUUGUCAGUUAAGGUUCAAGACCUGGGUGAGAAGCUAGUGUCAUGCCCACUCAAUUCAGGCUGAUGUCGUGGCUAGAAGGUAAAUUCCACAAAGGAACUCAUGGUGGAUAUAUUAACCAACUUCCCCUGACCAAAUCCUCCACCUAAUUGGCAGUCACCAUCCCCUCUUCAAAAGAUACUGUCUCUCAAAACCCUCAGUCACAAACUCGCUGCUAAGGCUUCUUACACACCACACUUUCACACAAGUUUUAAUUAAUGGACUAAUUAAAUGGUUAUGAUUAUGUUAA